UGGGGAAUUUUGGACAAUGGGGGAAACCCUGAUCCAGCCAUCCCGCGUGUGCGAUGAAGGCCUUCGGGUUGUAAAGCACUUUUGGCAGGAAAGAAACGUCGCGGGUUAAUACCCCGCGGAACUGACGGUACCUGCAGAAUAAGCACCGGCUAACUACGUGCCAGCAGCCGCGGUAAUACGUAGGGUGCAAGCGUUAAUCGGAAUUACUGGGCGUAAAGCGUGCGCAGGCGGUUCGGAAAGAAAGAUGUGAAAUCCCAGAGCUUAACUUUGGAACUGCAUUUUUAACUACCGGGCUAGAGUGUGUCAGAGGGAGGUGGAAUUCCGCGUGUAGCAGUGAAAUGCGUAGAUAUGCGGAGGAACACCGAUGGCGAAGGCAGCCUCCUGGGAUAACACUGACGCUCAUGCACGAAAGCGUGGGGAGCAAACAGGAUUAGAUACCCUGGUAGUCCACGCCCUAAACGAUGUCAACUAGCUGUUGGGGUCUUCGGACCUUGGUAGCGCAGCUAACGCGUGAAGUUGACCGCCUGGGGAGUACGGUCGCAAGAUUAAAACUCAAAGGAAUUGAC
rnacentral:rRNA from 1 species